rnacentral:lncRNA from 1 species
GUUCUGUUGUUGGCAACCAACAGAGUUGUUGUCUUUUCUCGCAUUCAUUAAAAUGCACAAGAAGAAAUUUCUAAUGGUGAGGGAGUACUUGCUUCAAAUUCAUACUUCAGUGAAAUAAACAACACCAUACAUAGGAAUGGUUCAGGAAAUACAUGUGCAGUGAAAGCAAAGUCAUCAUACACUGUUUGCUUCAUUGUAUGAGAAUCAAUGUUUGCAUGAUAAACUGCCCUAAUGGAAGAGGACUCUGAGUUACCUUUUUCGAGCAAAGCCACCUAGGUUACUCUGUUUUCCCCAGAGUGACCCUUCUGUUCUGCAAAUUUUCAGAUUGAAGGGAGUAGCAGUAGAGUAUCAGAAGUAUCAGAAGCAAAAAAGUAAAUGUAUGAUUUGCAAAGCAUAACAAAAUGAAAAAUAAGCUUCUGCAGUCAUGGAAGUUCAGAAUUGGAUAACAACUUAGAUUAUUUAUUCCAACCUCAUCGAAAAAGAGAUAAAGACAUGGAAUUCAGGAAAAGUGGUGAGGAAGCAAAUUCAGAAAUGUAUGACUAGGAAUAUGGAAGCAACUGAAUAUGAGGUUAGAAUGUGAAACUGAAUUUAAAGGUGUAACUUGGGCCUGACUGAAAUAUAGCAAUUUAGCAGAAGUGGGAUUAAUUAUGUAGCCUUACCUAGUUGUACACAAGAUCAGGCUGGGACUGAAAUUCUACAAUAUGACUCCAUACCACCAAAAGAAUUCCAGCCCUCUGAGCAGUAGGAAAGAGAGUUUUGUUUUCUUGUAACCAGAACAUAAACUUUUGAUAGUCAUAACCUUUAUUUCAGUCUAUAAAUUUAGAUAUUGAUGGGGUUCAAAACAUUCUAUCCCCAAAUAUGGCACCAUGGAAUUUGAGCAAACGGCAAAAGUAGAAAGAUCACCCUUUGACUUUCUCCUGCCCUCCUCCUCUGAAAUCAGGUCAAGAGCCCCUCAUUUGAGAGGUGCUGUCCCUAUGCCCAGAGGAAAGAACAUCCUUAUCUAUAAAGACACAAAUAUAUAAAAAAUAAUCUGAACAGUAGGUCUUGUUAAGCGACUCCCCCUGAGUUUAUUACCACUGGAUCAUAUCCCUUUGCUUAAUCACACUUCCGUGCAACUGUCCACUUUUGUUCAAAUCUAAGCAUAAAAAUACAUAGGUUUCUCUGUUUCUUUGGGUCUUUAUAUCUGAAGGCUCCUGGCCUAUGUAAAACUCACAUUAAGUAAAUUUGUAGGCUUGUCUCUUCUUAAUUCGUUUUUAUAAGGACCUCAGUCAUGAGCCUAGAGAUAGAAAAGAAAGAUGUUUCUUUUCCCCUAUAGCAUAUUCAAAAGUGUAAAUGAAGUUUAUUCAGGGUCCUUAGUUUUACCAACUAUUUUUUUCUUUCUUGGAUAUACAAAUCUUUAAUACACUAAAUGCAGCUUCUAUAAUUUUAAACAAAUACAUUCUUCAAACCAAACCAAAGAUAGAAUAACUUUUAUAAAACAGGAGACACUUUAGAGGUAUAGUUAGCAGAUAUUUGUAAUUUUCAUGUGUUUGCAGACUCUGCAAUGUUGCUGUCAAUAUAUUUUUAGUUUCUUCCUGUUUGAUAAGGGUAUACCAUACAGAUGCUGCUGUGGAUGCAGUAUUGGCCCCAGUCAGAGUCUUGCUACCAUGAGAAUCUCUGCUCCAGGCACUAUGGUCCUCCCUGGGCUUACUAAGCCAGACAAGCUUCCACAGAGAAUGUGAUGUUUAUUGAACAACAUGGAAAUUGGAUAUAAAACCUUUAUGAGUGUUUGUAUCAGUAAAUUCCCUUGCUGUCCAUUUUCUUUCAGGUAAUGCUGUUUUAAUUAGUACCAAAUGCUCACAUCUAAUUUCUCUGUGGUGGACACUGCAACAAAUAAUUAUGAAAAAAAAAAAAACUUGCUGAUUCCACUGUAAACACUGAAUUGUAUCCAAAAUUGACUUGGUCCUUUACUGCAUUUUGCUUCAGAUUAAUACUUGUAGUUCUGAUGUCAUGUAACACCUACAGAUCAACAACAUCUACAAAUCAUGUAAAAUCUACAGAGAUGCUAGCCAGUUAUAGAGACAUAGCAUGUAAGUUCACGUCUAUGUUGAGAGCAUUGUGAUUAUUUUCCCCUUUAUCAACACUCGAUUAAAUGAGGUGAAGGAAAAGUAGGGCUUCUAGAGACUGACAACUCAGAGGAAUGCUGGAAUCACAUAGGAGUUUGCUAGGAACCCAAAAUCUCAUGUUACCACCACUAACACUACUCAUUCGCCCAAUCAAAUAUAUUACAAUCUGCAUUUCAGCAAGAUCCCCAUGUGAUCCAUAUACACUUUCCUCAGUCACACUUUUCUUAGUUCCUUGUGUAAUAACGACAUUUAACUUUGUAUGAUAGUUUACAUUAAGGUUUACAAAUGUAUGAAUUAGAUGGUCACAGGGAAAGGGACAGGCAGAGAACAAAGAUGUGUUUCUGUACCUAAAUAACAGAUGGAGGUAAGAGUAGCUUUCCUGGAAGUAAAGAUAAAAUUCUCUUCCUCCCUUGGGCAAACACUUAAGUAAAGGAAAUACAACAAAAGAAAAUGAGAAAUGUAUAUUGAGCAGCAUAUAAGAAGGAAAGAUUGUUUUUCUUUCUCAUGUUGAUUAUUGCUACAAUAAUUGCUUCAUGUAUUUUUAAACAAAGAUGCAUGUUACUGAUUAUCUAUCUUUAGAAAAAUGAGGGAUAAUUAUUAGGUUGUUAUCUGUGGAAAAACUAUAUUGAGAAAGUAGAAUAACAGGAUUACGGAGGAAGAAAAAAGACUUAUUGUGCAAAGUGUGAUAUUGAGGAGUAUGCGACUUUCAGAAAAGACACUAAGACUUCAACCUUCUUUUAAAAGAGGCUACUUUAAAUCAUCCCUGAUUGAUAAAAAUAUUUCCCAUAAUGAAAAGCUUUCCACAAAUCUCCUUAUAUUUUUUAAAUAAUACACUGUCCUCAGUGUCACAACAUUAUUUAUUUUUAAUUAAAAAGCAAAGAUAGUUUUUCUAUAAUCUGUGAACUAGGUGAAACACUGGCAGGUUAUAUUAAUUCAUCAUUUCAUAUAAAUAAUUAUUGAACAUCUGGAUAUAAGAAAUGCUACCUUUUUCAUGAUGAGUUUUCUUAAAAUCUAAAAACUGCUGACUGUGAUAAAAAUUAACAAGACCACUUUGAGAAAAAGACUUUAACAGUCACAGUGUCUUAAAAUACUGGAUGUGAGAAUAAUGAACUGUUAUGAGGGGAUUCAUGUUUGCAAAAUGAGCUACCAGUUGAUAAUUAGGGGAGCUGUACAAUACCCUGGUGAGAUAGGUAUGUUUUAUUCCUGCCAUUUUGCAGAUGCAAAAUUGACAUGAGAGAGUAAUGAAGUGUUUGUCCUCAGGGAACCUAGAAAAUCAGCAUCAGCAGAAAGCACUGACUUUCUGAGACAUCUGCUGUGAUGUAAGGUAUGAUGGCCAGUUUUAACACCCACUUACUGGCUGUGUGAUUUUGGUAAAGAUACUUAACCUUUUUGUGCCUUAGUUUCUUAAUCUGUAAAAUGGGAAGAAUAAUAACAUUUUCCUCAAACAUAUGUUGUUAGGAGUAAAUUAGCUAGUCCUUGCAAAACACUUAAAAGAUUACCUGGCAUAUAGUUGGUCAACAAUCAGUAUCUAUUAAUUACCAUCUAUGGGCCUCUCUGAGCACUAAGGAUAAGAAAGUGAACAAAGUAAAUCCUUGCCCUCAAGAGCUUACAUUCUUGUCCUUAACAGAAUGUUCUCUCAGCUGAUGGACAUAUGUGUAUAGGUCUUUCUUAUGAACAGGUAGAAACAGAAAGUCUUGCUGGCUUUCUUUGUUUCUUUUCUGCCUUUAAAAAACUUGUUAGAGGUAAUUUUACAGUGGCUGCAUCAUUUCUUAAUUUCCUGGGAAUGAGUUCUGAACAAAGAGAGAAUUUUACUAAUUCAGCUAGAAUGUUAUUGAAAGGAAAUAGCUGUGUUAGGCAAGGAUUGAGGGUUGAAAUCAAUUCUUUUCUUCAGGGACUCAUAAACUACUGGGGGAAGUCCAGAUCCACAAAUAAAUAACUCUGAUUAGGACUAAUUUUGGUAAAUAUAACUGUUAGAGUCUGAAUGUUUAUGUCCUUCCAAAAUUCAUAUGUUGAAAUCACCUCCAAGGCCAUGGUAUUAGGAGGUGAGGUCUUUGGGAGGUGAUUAGGUGAUUAGGUGAUCAGGGGUGGAGCCCUCAUGAAUGGAAUUAUUGCCCUUAUGAAAGAGACCCCAGAGAACUCCCAUACCCUUCUGCCAUGUGAGGACACAGUGAGAAAACCACUGUCUAUGAACCUGAAAAGGACCUCACCCAAUGCCAAAGCUUCUGGAGCCUUGGCCUUGAACUUCCUGCUUUCCAAAACUAUGGGAAAUAAAUGUCUAUUGUUUAUAAGCCACAUAGUUUAUUAGUUUUUAUCACAUAGCCGAAACAGACUAAGAGAAUAAUGAAAUAACAAAGAAGCAAGAGAAGGAAGUGUGCCUUGCUUGGGCAGAGAAAAAAAGGAGAGGAAAGAGGGAAAAGUAGGGAGGAGAAGAGAAAAGAGGGCACAGGAAGAAAAAUUAAGAAUGUGAACACAAAGGGUAAGGACAGAAGGGAACAGAGAUAAGAGAAGGGUGCUAUGGUUGGAAUGUCCUCCCAAAGUGCUAGGAUUACAGGCAUGAGCCACCGUGCCCGGCCUCAUUUUGAAAUUUAAUUGUCAUUGUAACAGUAUUAAUAGGUGGAACCCUUAAGAGAUCAUUAGGCCAUGAAGGCUACACCCUCUUGGGUGGGAUUGGUGCUUUAUGAAAAGGCAAGUAUGGCCCUCUCCUUCCCCUCUCUUUGCUUUUCUCCUCUUCUGUUGGGUGAGGAAUAGCAUUUCUCCUCUGUGGAGGAUAUGGCAUUCAAGGAGCCAUGUUAGAAAUGAGGAGGGGGCCCUCACCAGACACCAAACCUAUUGGCACCUUGAUCUUCCCAGCCUCUAGAACUGUGAGAAAUAAAUUUAUGUUUCUUAUAAAUUACCCAGUCUCAGAUAUUAUGUUAUAGCAUCACAAAACAAACAAAGACAAAGGGUAUACUUGCUCUUCGAUAUGAAUAGAAGCGGGUUUGGACUGUUUUGAAGGGGAGGACUGAGAAGUUGGGAGCAGAUGAUGUCUUAGUUCCCUCAUUAUAAGAAUGGGCUCUACUGGAGAGCCUAUUGGAGAAAAGCAGUAUUAGUAAGUGAAUAAAAAAAUAAAAAAAAUAAAAAGUUUUGUAACUUUUCUUGACUUCCCAUAUUAUUUUAAAGUGCCUUUCAUAGUCAAGCUGUAUUCACUUGAGUUAAAGGAGAAUGAAAGACUGAGUAUGAAAAAGAAAAGUGACUAAAAAUUAGGGAAUGUAAUUAACUGAAUAAGGAAUAUCUAACUAAUUAUAACCCAUAAAGCAAUAUGUUUUCUUUCUGACAUAUCACUCUUAAUACACACACACACACACACAAACACACUCAGACACAUCACACACACAGAGAAAGAGAAUAAUGCUAGGGUCUUAAUUUUUACAUAUAAUUAUGAUGUUAAGAAUACUGCUCUCUAUGGUGAGGUAUUUUAAAAAGGUGUGUGUGUGUGUGUGUGUGUGUGUGUUUAAUUUCAGUAGAUUUCAAUGAAAAACCAUAGUUAUCAGAGGGAUAGGAUAACAUUAAGAUAAUUUAUCUAUAUAACAGUACAUACACAAACAUUAGCAUUUGACAAUAGCUAGAACUGUAAAAGAUUACCUAGAUCUAGAUCUUUCUAGGUCCUUUUAGAAUCAUAUUAAUUUAUAAAAUUUUGAUUGGAUGAAUGUGGUUCUCUUUCUAUUACAUCUGUAUGAUUUAUCCUAACUUAGAAAUAUUGCAAGUCAUUUUCAUCCUCAAACAUAUCAGGUAUAAAUGACUAUAAAAUUAGACAGUGAUUUUUCUAUGUGUAAAAUAUAACCCUUAUAAAACACAGAGAAAUAUUUUGAUUCUGAAAAGUUGCUUGUAUAUAUAUGCACAUUGCUUGUUAAAUAGUCAGAAAUUUUGAGUGUAUGAAAAUAUAUUUAAACCAGUCAACAGAAAACAUAUGCUUUCUUGUGAUAGUGUGCUAUAGGCUGUAACAUUUGAAAGGCUAGCCCAGCAGAUUUCUGAGCACAUAUUGGCCAGGAUAAUUUGCAGAAUCUGUAUUCCAAUUUAAACUCAGUAAAUUUGUCCUUUCUUAGGCUAUGGAUUUAUCUAUGUCACUUAAAGAUAAUGACAGUUUUUAUUGACUACAUAAUGCUGAAAUUAUUAGAGCAACAAAAAAUGGAUACAGCUAUGCUACUAAGUUACCUCUCCCAUUAUCAAACCUAGAUUAACUCUGAAGCAGUAGAAUAGAGGAAGGUAUGUGUUAUGGUUAAUGUCCCUGCCAAGCUUAUGUUUUAAUUUGAUUGCCAUUAUAACAGAAUCAAGAGAUGGAACCUUUAAGAGGUGAUUAGGCCAUGAAGACUAUGGCUUCAUUUGCGGGAUUGGUGUCACCAUGGGAGUGGGUUUCAUAUUGCAGAAGUAAGCUCCUAAUAAAAGGAUGAGUUUGACUUCCUUUUGCUUCUCUCUCACCCUGGCCUUGCCCUCCCACAAUGAGAUCAAUAACCAAGAAGUUCCUUUCCAGAUGCUGGGUCCUCGAUCUCAGACUUCUUCGUCUCCAGAACCAUAAGCCAAUAAAUUUCUGUUUAUUAUAAAUUACUCCAUCUGUGGUAUUCUGUUACAGCAGACAAAAUAAACUAAGAAAGUAGAGUUCUAUUUCUCCUCUUGCCCUCUAUUUCUUCAGAGGAAGACUAAAUUCCUUUAUGAUUUCCUUUGCUUCUAGUAAGGGACAGAAAUGCAAGAUGUUCCUUCUCAUUGUAAUAUACCACUGGAUAUUACAUAUAAUUUUUACAUUAAAAUUUUUAUUUAACAUUCCCUUUGCAUACUUCUAGAAGUAGUAUUAAGACAAUAAGACACUUCAGAAUUGACUAUGUGGUCUGCUGUAAUAUUGAUGCCAAGAAUAUCAUAAUGGUGAGGAAUGAGAGAAAAAUGCAUAAAGAACAUAAAUAUAAUAAAGGGAAUAAAGUAUAUAAUG